rnacentral:rRNA from 1 species
AUUGAACGCUGGCGGCAUGCCUUACACAUGCAAGUCGAACGGCAGCACGGGAGCAAUCCUGGUGGCGAGUGGCGAACGGGUGAGUAAUAUAUCGGAACGUGCCCAGUCGUGGGGAUAACGUAGCGAAAGCUACGCUAAUACCGCAUACGAUCUAUGGAUGAAAGCGGGGGAUCGCAAGACCUCGCGCGAUUGGAGCGGCCGAUAUCAGAUUAGGUAGUUGGUGAGGUAAAGGCUCACCAAGCCGACGAUCUGUAGCUGGUCUGAGAGGACGACCAGCCACACUGGGACUGAGACACGGCCCAGACUCCUACGGGAGGCAGCAGUGGGGAAUAUUGGACAAUGGGCGAAAGCCUGAUCCAGCAAUGCCGCGUGAGUGAUGAAGGCCUUC